rnacentral:lncRNA from 1 species
AUUAGUUUAAACACAAAAAAAGAAGGCUAAAUUACAGAAAAUCCCCCUGUAAUAAACCGCUUUUUUACUUUCCCCCCUGACAUUUAAAAACCUACACUUUGCCCCCUUGUAAAAUAAAAAAUAUUCACAGGGGGGUUACGGUGUGUAAAAUGACCAUUUUGCCCCUCGCCAUUGUUGUCUUCUUCCUGAGCUUUCUCAGCCGCCCCUUCGAUCCGCCACUAUUUUCACCUCAAUCGGCCACGAUUCCUCUCCAAUUUCUUCUCCACCUGCUCCCCUUCUCCUCCUACACUGUCGUCACCCAUCGAUUUCGGCGACAGUAGGAAAAAUACUAAAAUGGGUGUUGAUGGAGAGGUAGGCAAGGACAACGAGGGCGAAGGCGAGGCGGCGGAGGAGGACGAAGGGGAUGUGGGCGAGGGCGAAGCAGUGGAGGACGGCGAGGCGGCGAGGCGGCGAAGCGGCGAGGCGGCGAAGCGGCGAGCCGGAGGGAGCGAAGCAUCAGAGAAGAGGCAGAGGGGUAUUUUCGGUAUAAAAAAUAUUUUUUAACAGAACCUCUGACGGAACCCUAACGGUAGGGGUGAAGUGCACAUUUUUUAUUUUACAAGGGGGCAAAGUGUAAGUUUUUAAAUAUCAGGGGGGGAAAGUGAAAAAGCGGGUUAUUACAGGGGGAUUUUCUGUAAUUUAGCCAAAAAAGAAAUUAAGAAGAGAUCAGUACUGUUGCAG